rnacentral:rRNA from 1 species
GCAACAUAGCUUGAAGGAUAAAAUUUAUUGAUUAAUUUAUUUGUAAAUAAUAUUUAUUAUGAAGAAUUUUUAUUUUAUUAGUUUGUGCGAACAAAGCUUUUGUUAAUGAGUGCUUAGACAAAAUUAUUAUAGUUUAUUAGUAUUGUGAGAGAAGGUUUUAUUAUUUAUGGAAAAGAAAAAUUUAUGUUUUGUACCUUGUGUAUCAGGGUUUAUUUAGUAAAACUUAAUUUUUUAAGUUUCUCGAAUUUAAAAGAGCUAUAAGUAUAUAGAUGUUAUUGUGGAAAAAAUAUAAUUAAUAUAUUUAUUGAAAUAAAAUGUUAUUCGUUUUUAAAUAUAUCUAGUUUUUUAAGAAGAAAUUAAAUUUUAUUUUUAUUUACUAUAAUUUUUCGUGUUUAAUCUUAUGGUAGUAAAAUUUUAUAUUGAAUGGGAUGAGCUUUUCAGUGUAUUAAUAUAAUUGAUUAUAGGAAGAAGGGUUUAAAGUAGAAUUGUAAGUUUUUAUCUUUAUUAGUGAGUUAUUUCUAGAAGUGAAUAAAUACUAAAAAUUUUUAUAAUAUUUAUUUUAUUUAUUAAAAUGUAGUUUUCAAUUUGGUAGGUUUAGUAAUAAUGAUAAAAUUAGUAUAAUUUAUAGUAAAAGUUUAAUAGUUUGGGAGGUUUUAUAAAGGAACUCGGCAAAGUGGUUUUUCACCUGUUUAAUAAAAACAUGUCUUGUUGAUAAUAAUUUCAAGUCUGGCCUGCCCCCUGAGAGUUUAAAUGGCCGCGGUAUCUUGACCGUGCAAAGGUAGCAUAAUCAUUAGUUUUUUAAUUGAAAGCUUGAAUGAAAGGUUUGAUGAAAAAAUGACUGUCUCUGUAUAAAUUUAUUAAAAUUUUAUUUUUAAGUAAAAAAGCUUAAAUUUUCAUAGAAGACGAGAAGACCCUAUAGAGUUUUAUACAUAUAUUUAUGUUUAAGUUUAUAUUGUUUUGUUUGACUAGGUUUAGAAUAUAUAUAUUUUAUUGGGGUGAUAGGAAAAUUUAAUUAACUUUUCUUUUAUGAUAAUAUUGAUUUGUAUAUUUAUGAUCCUAAAAUUUAGAUUAUAAGAUUAAAUUACCUUAGGGAUAACAGCGUAAUUUUUUUUAGAGUUCUGAUCGAAAAAAAAGGUUGCGACCUCGAUGUUGGAUUAAAAUUUAUUGUUGGUGAAGAAGCUGAUGAGUUAGGUCUGUUCGACCUUUAAAAUUUUACAUGAUCUGAGUUUAAACCGGUGUAAGCCAGGUUGGUUUCUAUCUCUAUGAUAAUAAAAAUAUUUUAGUACGAAAGGACCAAGUAUUUAUUUAAUAAAUUUACUGAAGAAUAUUAUUAGUUAUUUUGGCAGAUUAGUGCGUUAGAUUUAGAAUCUU